GCAAAGGUAGCAUAAUCAUUUGUCUUUUAAAUGGAGACUCGUAUGAACGGCAAAACCUUCUCCAACUGUCUCCCCCGCUAUCCUUAGAAACUCUUAUCUAGGUGAAGAAACCUAGAUAGCCUAGAAAGACGAGAAGACCCUGUCGAGCUUCAGUCCGAAAAGAUUAAACAAUAAAGAAUGCUACAAGCACCAAGACAAUAAUCCUAGAAGACUUUGGUUGGGGCAACCAUGGAGAAAAACAAUACUCCAGUACGCGCAGAAGACGUCACGUCACCGCACAAGAACAAAAUGAGAACCAGAAACUGGCAAUCGGAAAAAGUUACCGCAGGGAUAACAGCGUAAUCCUCUCUAAGAGUCCUUAUUGACGAGAGGGUUUGCGACCUCGAUGUUGGAUUGGGACCUCCAUAGGGUGCAGAAGCUCUAAAGGGUUGGACUGUUCGUCCAUUAAAGUCCUACA
rnacentral:rRNA from 1 species